GCAUGGGGCAGUCUACCAUGCAGUCGAGCGGAUGAAGGGAGCUUGCUCCCUGAUUUAGCGGCGGACGGGUGAGUAAUGCCUAGGAAUCUGCCUGGUAGUGGGGGAUAACGUUCCGAAAGGAACGCUAAUACCGCAUACGUCCUACGGGAGAAAGCAGGGGACCUUCGGGCCUUGCGCUAUCGGAUGAGCCUAGGUCGGAUUAGCUAGUUGGUGAGGUAAUGGCUCACCAAGGCGACGAUCCGUAACUGGUCUGAGAGGAUGAUCAGUCACACUGGAACUGAGACACGGUCCAGACUCCUACGGGAGGCAGCAGUGGGGAAUAUUGGACAAUGGGCGAAAGCCUGAUCCAGCCAUGCCGCGUGUGUGAAGAAGGUCUUCGGAUUGUAAAGCACUUUAAGUUGGGAGGAAGGGCAGUAAGCUAAUACCUUGCUGUUUUGACGUUACCGACAGAAUAAGCACCGGCUAACUUCGUGCCAGCAGCCGCGGUAAUACGAAGGGUGCAAGCGUUAAUCGGAAUUACUGGGCGUAAAGCGCGCGUAGGUGGUUCGUUAAGUUGGAUGUGAAAGCCCCGGGCUCAACCUGGGAACUGCAUCCAAAACUGGCGAGCUAGAGUACGGUAGAGGGUGGGUGGAAUUUCCUGUGUAGCGGUGAAAUGCGUAGAUAUAGGAAGGAACACCAGUGGCGAAGGCGACCACCUGGACUGAUACUGACACUGAGGUGCGAAAGCGUGGGGAGCAAACAGGAUUAGAUACCCUGGUAGUCCACGCCGUAAACGAUGUCGACUAGCCGUUGGGAUCCUUGAGAUCUUAGUGGCGCAGCUAACGCAUUAAGUCGACCGCCUGGGGAGUACGGCCGCAAGGUUAAAACUCAAAGGAAUUGACGGA
rnacentral:rRNA from 1 species